rnacentral:rRNA from 1 species
UACGAGGGGGGCAAGCGUUGUUCGGAAUUAUUGGGCGUAAAGGGCGCGUAGGCGGCGCGGUAUGUCUCUUGUGAAAUCUCCAGGCUCAACUUGGAGUCUGCAAGGGAAACUGCCGUGCUUGAGUACUGGAGAGGUGAGUGGAAUUCCCGGUGUAGCGGUAGAAUGCGUAGAUAGUCGGGAAGGAACACCUGUGGCGAAAGCGGCUCACUGGACAGUAACUGACGCUGAUGCGCGAAAGCUAGGGGAGCAAACAGG